UACGGAAGGCAGCAGUGGGGAAUAUUGCACAAUGGGCGCAAGCCUGAUGCAGCCAUGCCGCGUGUAUGAAGAAGGCCUUCGGGUUGUAAAGUACUUUCAGUCGUGAGGAAGGUGUUAAGGUUAAUAACCUUAGCAAUUGACGUUAGCGACAGAAGAAGCACCGGCUAACUCCGUGCCAGCAGCCGCGGUAAUACGGAGGGUGCGAGCGUUAAUCGGAAUUACUGGGCGUAAAGGGCACGCAGGCGGUUAAUUAAGUUGGAUGUGAAAUCCCCGGGCUUAACCUGGGAAUGGCAUUCAAGACUGGUUUAGCUAGAGUCUUGUAGAGGGGGUAGAAUUCCAUGUGUAGCGGUGAAAUGCGUAGAGAUGUGGAGGAAUACCGGUGGCGAAGGCGGCCCCUGGCAAAAGACUGACGCUCAUGUGCGAAAGCGUGGGGAGCAAACAGGAUUAGAUACC
rnacentral:rRNA from 1 species